AACCAACAACACAGACGCGAGACGGGCUCUUUAACGCUUUCGCGUUAAGAUAUCUUGACGUACCGCCCACGGGCCAGAACUAUUCAGGGCCAAUACGGGUAGCACAUAUACUACGUUCAAGUUAGCUGAAACACCUUUAAUAAGCACACCUCUAAGGGCAAAGGACUAUCGAGGCUCAUUUCUGAGCGGGCGCGUCAAAAACAGUCAUAAAUAAUGACACAACAAGAUGUUAGUGUUUUAUUGGAAUUUCGUCAACUAUAGAAAAGCGGUUUCCAAAGUAAUAUGGCGAGACUAAGAGGCUAUGGUAUGCAUCACUAAUGCGGUCCUAUAGACGUGCGAGUGCAUACAGCACAACGAACAGAUUUCAGCCAGACGCAUUGUUAUAAGUGUUUGACACAUACUUAAUUGCAUCUUUGUUUUCAUGUGGCUCAGUUUUCCGAAACAAGCUCAAAUAUCACCCGAAGCUUAUCGUCCCCGAUAUAUCCUUCACGUUCCAGGUCAUCCAAGCUAAAGAAACAACCAAUAAAAUAUGCUCCAUUAUUACUUGCUUUAUCGGGCCUUGCAAAGUGCUCAGGAUUGUCUCCAGAUACUUGCUCUUUUCUGCACUCUUUGUUUUGCGAUGGGUGUUUAAUGGUGAACCGAACCUUUUCUUUGAACGGCCAUUCAAGAACGUCGUCGAUCAUUCCCUUGUGCAGCUGGAUGCGAGGAUGCAGGUAAAUGCGCUCUUCCUGUGUCCCU
rnacentral:lncRNA from 1 species